rnacentral:rRNA from 1 species
UGGCGCACGGGUGAGUAACACGUAUGCAACCUGCCCUCUUCAGGGGGACAACCUUCCGAAAGGGAGGCUAAUCCCGCGUAUAUCGGUUUCGGGCAUCCGAGAUCGAGGAAAGAUUCAUCGGAAGAGGAUGGGCAUGCGGCGCAUUAGCUAGACGGCGGGGUAACGGCCCACCGUGGCGACGAUGCGUAGGGGUUCUGAGAGGAAGGUCCCCCACACUGGUACUGAGACACGGACCAGACUCCUACGGAAGGCAGCAG